rnacentral:rRNA from 1 species
GAUGAACGCUGGCGGCGUGCCUAACACAUGCAAGUCGAGCGAACACAUGAGGAUCUUGCUCCUCUGACGUUAGCGGCGGACGUGUGAGUAACACGUGGAUAACCUACCUUUAAGACUAGGAUAACUUCGGGAAACCGGAGCUAAUACCGGAUAAUAUAUUGAACCCCAUGGUUCAUUAGUGAACGACCGCUUUGCUGUCACUUUGAGAGGGUUCCGCGCCGCAUUAGCUAGUUGGUACGGUAACGGCUUACCACGGCGACGAUGCGUAGCCGACCUGAGAGGGGGAUCGGCCACACUGGGACUGAGACAAGGUCCAGACUCCUACGGGAGGCAGCAGUAGGGAAUCUUCCGCAAUGGGCGAAAGCCUGACGGAGCAAUGCCGCGUGUGUGAUGAAGGUCUUCGGAUCGUAAAACUCUGUUAUGAGGAACGAACAGAUGUGUGCGAAGAUGGGGGCGGCUUGACGGUACCUGAUUAGAAAGCCACGGCUAACUACGUG